GUGAUUCGCCGUAAGUAGACCACGGCCCGGGUGACUAGAACAGAAUGGAGCGAGAGGGCUGGGCAUUUUCUUCCUUGUGUGAAUAAGCACUCAGGCAACACUGUGAAAAUUCCUGUCCUGGGAUUGCCUGGAUGGCUGGCGCGGUGCUGGGAGUGGGUGCCGGCGUGUUCAUCCUAGCCCUGCUCUGGGUGUUGGUGCUGCUGCUGUGUGUGCUGCUAUCCAGAGCCUCCGGGGUAGCUAGGUUCUCUGUCAUUUUUGUAUUCCUCGCUGCUCUGGUCAUCACGGCAGUUCUGUUGCUCUUUCCCCGAGCCAGUGAAUUUCCAGCCCCAGGAGUGGAAAUGAAGAUUGUGGAUACCUUUUUCAUUGGCCGCUACAUCCUGCUGGCUGUCCUCAGCGCUGUCUUCCUUGGAAGCCUCUUCUUGCUUCUAACACAUCAUGUCCUGGAGCCCGUCUAUGCCAAACCCCUGCGGUCCUACUAAGCAUUAUUGGGGAAACAGAGGCCCUUGGCCUCCUGUCUUUCAUGUGGACGCCAUGGAUGCACAGAAAGUCACUCGUCAGAGCCUUGUUCUUACAGCCUUCAUGUCUUAAGGUGUCUUUCCUUCCUAAGUGGGUGCAAAAGGCCUGUAUGUCACCAGGAAUCAAAAGGAUCCAAUCAAAGGCGUGGAGCUCACCGUAGCAUCCCAUGUGAGUCCGUAUCAGAAGGCUGACAGGUCUCCCCUGGAAGGCUGAAGGGCCGAUUCUAGAGGCUGGAGUCUGCGCUGAAAGCCAAGAAACGACGUCCAAGGUGAAAGCGAAGACUGGAGCUUCUCCGAAGGAACAGAAGCAAUCCCUCCUUCUUCUUUUCCCUCUUAUACACUCUGGCAAUAAUCCUCCCUAGGGUGGGUCUUCCACACCCAGAACUACACUGAGCCAAUUUAGUUGGGUGUUGUAUAUUCAAAUUGACACAGUCAACCAAGCAUCAGACCUACUAAGCUCUGUAGAACUUUGAUUGAGAGCUUGAGGGAGAUUAAGACUACCUCUUGCUUUCUGUCCUGGACCCUGUCGUCAGGGUAGAGAGGUCCCCAGUCCUGCCUCCCCUGAGGGGCUCAGCCCUAAAUGACAGGAGGCAAGAGCUGGUGACAAGAGUCUUGGGUUGGUGAGGGUCAGGUGGAGUUGUACCUCCACUUAAACUGACUCCUUUACCCGCUUAGUUUGGGAAAACUUUGCAGAGAAUGCUUCAUGCAGAAAGUCUUAAAGGAAAUCAUUUUCUUCCCAGCUUUUUAAAAAAUUUUUUAUCUUUUUAAUUUUUUUUAUUAGUACAUAUUUGCCAUACAUAAC